CAGCUAUGGCAUAGGUUGCAGCUACAGCUUGGAUUUGAUCCCUGGCUCUGGAACUUUAAUAUGCCACAGAUGUGGAAAAAAAAAAAAAAAAAAAUCCUUUGUUUUUACUCUUAUACUCACUGGAAAAUUUGACCUAGCAUAGAAUUCUAGGUUAAAUAAAGUAAGAAGGCAAGCUAUAGACUAGGAGAAAAUAUUUGCAAUACAUACCUGAAAAAGCCAGGUACUUUUUAAAGACUUCUAAAAAUCAAGAAGAAAAAAAACCAACCCAAUUUUUUAAAAUGAACCUACACCUGAAUAGGAACUUCCCAAAAGGAAAUAACCAAAUGGCUAAGAAGUAUGUGAGUUAUUCAGUAUCAAUACUCAUUAGGGAAAAUCAAAUUAAACUCACAAUGAGGUAUGGCAGUGCACUGAUCAAAAUGGCUUAAGGUGAAAAAAUUGAUAAUACCAAGUAUUGGCAAAGAUGUAGCAAAACUAGAACUUCAGAAUACACAGUUUAUGAGAGGGUAAAACUCUUUGAGAUACUGAAUAACAGUUUCUAAUAAAUCAAACACACAUGUACCUAUGAUAACCCAGCAAUUCCACUUCUGGGUAUACACUUGGAAGAAGAGGUCAAACAAUUCACAAAACUUGUACAAGAAUGUUUGUAGUACUAUAUUCAUAAUAGCCUCAAGCUAGCAAUAAUCAAAAUUCCUACAAAAAGGAGAAUGUAUAAACAAACCAUACAUAAUAAUACAGUGGAAUAUUUCUCAUCAAUAGGAAAGAAUGAACUACUACUACACCCAACAACUUGGAUGAAUAUUAAAACAUAUCAAUCCAAAUAAGCCAUACCCCCCACACAUAUAUAUAUAUUAUAUAUAUAUUAUCUGGUCUAACAUUUAGGUCUUUAGUCCAUUUUUAUUUAUUUUUGUAUAUGGUGUUAAAAGUAUUCUAAUUUCAUUCUUUUAUGCAUAGCUUUCCAGUUUUCCCAGCACCACCUAUUGAAGAGACUGCCUUUUCUCCCUUGUAUAUUCUCGACUCCAUUGUAUAUUCUUAACUCCUUUCAGUAAUGACAAUAUGUCAUGGGUUUACAUCUGAACUUUUUAUCCUGUUCCACUGAUCUAUAUGCCUGUUUUUGUCCCAGUGCCAUUCUGUUUUGAUGAUCAUAGCUUUGUAGUAUAGUCUUAAGUCAGGGAACCUGAAUGUUCCCAGCUCAGUUUUUCUUUCUCAAAAGUGCUAUAGCUAUUCAGGGUCUUCUGUGUUUCCAUACAAAUUUUAAUUUUUUUUCUAGUUCUGAAAAUCACCCAGUUCUUAUGUAUUGGCCCAGUUAACAAAACACACUGCCAACAACAACAAAAAUCACUGUGUGAAAUGAAUCAGCUAUCUCCAAACUUGAUCAAGCCCAUAUGCCAACAUUUUGCUACCUCUGAAGUAAAGAACUUAGGGAUGUUUUUUUUGAACAAGAGAGAAUUCUAAUAGCCACCUCCAUUUUUUAAAAGAGAUAUUAAGUGAAAGAAGGAAUUAGUUAUUAUUUCUAGAUGCAGAAUGAAGAUUAACAUUUAAGGGAAGUAUCUAAGCCAGAACCUUCUAAAAGAGAUGUCUGAAGAUGUUCCCCAAAGGCAUUACUUUAGUGAACUGCUGUUACUACUGCUACUGAAAGGGAUAAUAAAAUUCUAAUGAUAAUCAGGAAAGAUCUAUGAAACCACAAGAAUGUUGUCUUCUGCAUGCCCAAAUCAUGAUGGACCUUCUUAAAUAAGUAUAGACCUUGUACCACUAAAAUUCAAAAGAAUUUGUAAUUUAGCUGAAGAAGGAUAAGAGAAAAAUAAAUAAAAUGAUCAAGGAAAUGGUGCUACUCCUUUCUAAGAACAAAUAUAAAAGAUUAAGUACUUUAGUCUGUAAAUAUAAAUAGAGGGAACAUAAUUAAUAAUCAGCACUUAAUAUGCUAACAUGAAGUCUGCUUUUCUUAAGAAGUUAUAAUGCUUCCCAAUGCUCUGACUUAUUUUCCUGGGUUGGCCGUCCCCUCUGACCACCAUGGACUUUCACAACAUUUGAGGAAUUUGUAAUUCCAUGGAAAACACUUGGGGAGCCCUGCCAGAGAUCAUAAUCUCAGAAUAUUUGAAGUAAAAUAACUCAGAGAUCGUCUAGUCCAAUUUUUCAUUUUCUGAUGAAAGCCUCUGUAGAAUUGAUAUUUGUCUAUUUUCUAGGUAGAGGCAAUGACACUAGAAUGCACAGAUUUAACCCUACAUAAUUACUUUACGCCAUAUUUCCUUAGUCUUUAAUCAGCAAUGAGGAGGCCAGCUGAAGGUCAACUUCAGUCAACAUUGAAGUAGGAGGCCACUUCUUGAGACUAAGAGAGAGAGAAAUAAAGAGAAGUAUAAGAUAGCAAAAGCAGCAAGAACACUGUGAACUGUAUUCAUACUUAACAGAUCCUGCUUGUCCCCCCCAGUACACCUAUCACCACAGAUCUAUUCUAGAGCUGGCUUCUUGUCCAGGCCCCUGACAUCAGAUAUAAUGUAAGUAAAUAAUAGCACCCCUGAGCUCAGGCAGAUGUAAAAAUUGUUAAAUAGAAAACUUUGUAAUAUUCAUAUUUCUGCUCAGUGGGAGAUCAAUUUACAAAUUAGAUGCUAAGCAGGAAGUGAUUAUUCUUAUUAAAUGAUGUGUAAGUGCUUUUCCUUUUAGCAUUUGCCAUGACCAAAGCCUCUGACCUCAGAGGAAAAAAUAUGUAGUCCAGAAGAAAAGCAGUUAUAGAAUGUGAAGGUAGGAAAAGGUAUGGCUAUACAAUCACACAGAUGUUUUCAUCAGCAAAUCCAACAAUUACAUAGCUUUUGUCAAAAGAUGUUGGCAGUAGGGAAGCGGAGGUAUUUGUUCAUUCAUUAAAUAUUUAUUGAGCUGCUACUAUGUGCCAGACACUCUAGGCGUGUUAGAGCUACUACAGUGGAUAAAGCAGAUAUAGUUUCUGCUCUCAUGGAGUUUUCAUUCCUUUUGAGAGUGAAGAGAGAGCCAUAUACAAAUAGAAAACUAAAUAAUAUGAAUUCUAAUAAUAACUGUUAGAGAAAAAAUAAAGAAGGAAGGAAAAAAAUAUGCACUUUCAGAGAUGAUAUUUAAUCAGAGAUUUCAACAACACAAGAGUGCCAAUGAACAAAUAAAUGGAGAAAGAAUUUCUGGGGAGAGAAAACAGUGAUUACAAAGGUGUGUUCUAGAAAGAGCAAGAAGAUGAGAUAGUAAGCAAAGGCAAGCGUACCAACUCUUAAAACUUAUAGCUGAUGAUUAAAAAGGCUAUAUUUUCAACAAAGGUAUUUUUAAAAACCCCAAAGUUAAAAAAAGUACUAACCUCAAAGAAAGACUUGAAACACCAAGUUAGAGCAAAUUGUGGAAAAACAAGAUUCAUGGAGCAAAGAUAAGAAAUGCCAGAAUUAAAACUAGUUAUUCACCAUUAAUCCUUGCAGAUUAUUAAUGGUUUCUGUAUGUGGCAAGAACUGUAAGUUGUUAUCAUAUGUAUAUGCUUAUUUUGCUACAAUGUAUAGAAUUUUAAUACAGAGUGUGAGUAUAAUAAUUAUUGACAAAUACUUAAUCUUAACAAAAUUCAAGGUAAAGAAUUCCCUAGAUAGUUUUAUGUAGAGAGUCCUAAAAUCCCACAGUCACUGUUUCAUUGCCUACUUUCAUAUGCCAUUGGAGUGUAGAUUGAUAUAAAUAUCCUGGCAAGCUAUUAGGCCUUAGUGUAUAAAGAGCCUUGAAAAAGUUUAUGCCAUUAGACACAAUAAUUCCACUUCUAGGAAUCCAUCCUAAGGAAAUAAACAAAAACAGACAAAGAUUUAUGGGCAGGGAUAGUCACAAUAGCUCUAUUUAUAAUAGUGAAAAAUUAGAAACAGCCUGGAUGUCCAACAACAGAAAUUACUGUACAUCCAUAUGACGGCAUAUUUUGCAAUCAUUGUAAACUGUGAUUCUAAAGAUUUUUAAAUAAGAACAGUCUAAUGAGAAAAAGUAAAAAGAGAAACCCAUUGAAAAGUUAUAUAUACAAGAUAUGCAAAAGAUGUAUAUGUCCAUACAUAUGAUAGAGAAAGGACAGAGAAUUUACACCAAACAGCUUAGCAAUGGAUAAUUUUUAUUUCCAUUGUGAUGCUUUUUUUCCCCAAAUUUUCUACAACGAGAUCCUGUCAUUUCUAUAGAUGGAAAAAAAAAGUUUUUUUAAAAAAAUGUAAAGAUUUGGCUAUCCUUGGAAAGUUCUCCUUUCAUGGAGGUGAGCUGAUUACUUCUUUUUAAGUCUGCAACUUUUCUACAGAAGAUGUCAUCCUGACACAUUUGUAGCCAUUGUCUGGGUCCAGAAGUUGUACUUGUCUUGAGGCUAAGAGUUUAGAUUUUAAAAUCUAAAAAUGCUUAGGUCCCAGCCAGUUUUCCACAGUUUAUCCCACUCUGUUUCUAAGAGAUGCUCUUUGAGACAAAAAUUUCCUUGGAAAAAUAAAUUUAGGAGUCUAUGUAGUUUAUUCUCCUCUUAAAAGCCACAAUGCUUGUUCAGAUUUUAGAGUUUCCAAGAUGUUCUCUAAUAUAGGAAACUGACCAAAUUUAUUUACUGAGCAUACACCAAACUUGUUUUUUCCUCACAUUUUCUUUUAACAUUUUUCAGAACUAGAGUUCUAUAAAAAAUUCUCUAUGAACUAUAGGAGUAGAUAUUUUUGAGGUAGACAAAUGCUUAAAGGACCAUUUUAGAGAAUGGAGUAUUUGGAGGAAAUGUUGGAGAAUUAUUAAGGCUAAAGCCUUUCAAGUGGAUAGUAAAAGUACAGAUACACCUGAGGGUUCCCAUUUUGCUUCUAUUAGAAACUUAAUUUUUAGCAGAAUCAAACCAUUUUUAUUUGAUAUUUAGUUAUAGAUCCUCUUCCUCUAUGUGCCUAAAUACAGUGAAAGAGCAGCAUAGUAAUAAUUUAACAUUUGUCAACAGAAUGAGUGAAUUUAAAAAUAUGUUAGUCUCUAGAAUUCCCUCAUGGCUCAGCAGGUUAAGGAUCUGGUAUUUUCACUGCUGUGGUUCUGAUUACAGCUGUGGUGUGGGUUCAAUUCCCUGGCCCAGGAAAUUCUGCAUGCCGCGGUGUGGCCAAAAAAAAAAAAAAAAAAAAAA
rnacentral:lncRNA from 1 species